UGGGGAAUAUUGCACAAUGGGCGCAAGCCUGAUGCAGCGACGCCGCGUGAGGGAUGACGGCCUUCGGGUUGUAAACCUCUUUCAGUAGGGACGAAGCGCAAGUGACGGUACCUAUAGAAGAAGGACCGGCCAACUACGUGCCAGCAGCCGCGGUAAUACGUAGGGUCCGAGCGUUGUCCGGAAUUACUGGGCGUAAAGAGCUCGUAGGUGGUUUGUCGCGUUGUUCGUGAAAACUCACAGCUUAACUGUGGGCGUGCGGGCGAUACGGGCAGACUGGAGUACUGCAGGGGAGACUGGAAUUCCUGGUGUAGCGGUGGAAUGCGCAGAUAUCAGGAGGAACACCGGUGGCGAAGGCGGGUCUCUGGGCAGUAACUGAGGCUGAGGAGCGAAAGCGUGGGGAGCGAACA
rnacentral:rRNA from 1 species